rnacentral:snoRNA from 1 species
AUAAUAUGAUGAAACUCACACGACGGUCUUCCGAAGACAAUUUGACGAAAAUCGUGUUUCAAACCCAAAAACUGAUUUU